rnacentral:tRNA from 1 species
GCGGAUAUGGCGGAAUUGGCAGACGCGCAUGGUUCAGGUCCAUGUGGGGGCAACUUCAUGCAGGUUCGACUCCUGUUAUCCGCA